UACGAAGGGGGGCUAGCGUUGCUCGGAAUCACUGGGCGUAAAAGCGUACGUAGGCGGCUUUCUAAGUCAGGGGUGAAAUCCUGGAGCUCAACUCCAGAACUGCCUUUGAUACUGGAGAGCUUGAGUCCGGGAGAGGUGAGUGGAACUCCGAGUGUAGAGGUGAAAUUCGUAGAUAUUCGGAAGAACACCAGUGGCGAAGGCGGCUCACUGGCCCGGUACUGACGCUGAUGUGCGAAAGCGUGGGGGAGCAAACAGG
rnacentral:rRNA from 1 species